AAAAAAACAGGCAAAAUUCCAGGGUCUCACCCCAAGAAAAGAGGUUAAAGUCACAACUGUCACAACUAUGAAUGUCAACUUGUGCCAUCUGGAUCCCAUUUUACCUCCCCUGGGUUCCUGCAUACACACUGUAACCCGUGAAAGAAACAGUGGGACUGGAGAAGUGUUCAGAGCCCACUGAUGACUGGUGGUCCCGUGGACGUUCCUCUCCACACUGUGGCCCUUCCGCAAUCAAGAAAGCGAUAGAGACAUUUUCUUAAUUGAAGAUCCUUCUUUCCAGAUAUGCAGAAUGUGCAUCAAGGUAACAGAAAAAUUAACCUUGUGCACAGGAUGUUUUCUUCUGUUUGUUCAACUUUUUAUUUUUGUCACAAUAUUUUUGAGUUCCUGGGAUCCUUAUUGAUUUAAAAAAGUGUCAUUCAGGGGUUGGGAUUUAGCUCAGUGGUAGAGCGCUUGCCUAGCAUGCGCAAGGCCCUGAGUUUGGUCCCUAGCUCUGGAAAAAAAAAAAGAAAAAAAAAGUGUCAUUCUCCCGGAUACUGGGGGCCACCACAACAGGUGUGGGCCAUGUCUCUCCAAUGGCAAGGAUCUUAACAAUCUCCCAGAUGUAUUUAAAAUUCUGGAGAACACCCAAAUUCUUAGGAAAAAUAAUAAUCUUGGUGUCCCACAAAGGAGGACAUCAACAAAGGGAAACUAACUUGGCAAAAUGAUUUUUUCUUCUUUUUUGUAAAAGGGGAAUACCAGAACUCAAAAUGGGCUAGCAAACAUAUUAAUCAGAAUUGCCUGUUUUCUACUCCAUAUGUAAGUGGUAAUUAUGCGUCUUCUCACUGGUAAGGGCUAGACUUCACAAUUGAUACAAAUGGCACGGAGGGGAGGGGAAGGCGGUGCGAAGUUCAGAUCUUCGUCGGGCUGACAGCAAACCACACAAGACCAGUUUCUUACAUUCUAGUGCUUGACAGCCUGAGACAGGAGAGUUGCCUAUGUUUGAGGCCAGCCUGGGCAAUAUAGAAAGGCCAUGUUUUUAAAAAGAUACAUAAACCUGCCAGUGUCUCCUUUAAAGUUAGUAGUUUGGGGCCUGGGAAGAUGGCUUAAUAGGUGGCGUUUGCCUUGUGAGCACAAGAACCUGAGUUCAAUCCCCACAGAAUAAAAUGCAGGAUGUGUGUGAGCACUGGGGGGUGGGGGGGUGAGCUUGAAGGACCCCUGGGCCUUGCUGGCAGGGAGAGACCACAUGUCAAAAAAACCAAGAUGACUCCUGAGGCGGGACACCUGAAGUUCUCCUGUGGCUUCCACACUCACACAUGUGUAGAGUCAUAUACAUUUAUACCUGCAGUCACACAUACAUAUGCACACACACACAUGCAGUCACAUGCACAUGUGCAGACUCACAGGAGCACAGGUGUAUGUUUGUGUGUAUGUGCACACACAAGCCACACCUAGCGGUUCUGGGGUUGGAAGCCAGGGUCUCGGCUCAGUUUGGGUCCUAACACUAUCAGUAGCCAGCUCUGGAACUCUCUGGGCUCCCCGGUGCUCCCUGACCACUCUCUCUCACUAGAGUUGGAGCAGGGGAGAAGAUAGAAAGUUUGGUCUUUGGCAUCUUGGUAAACAGGAAGUUGGCCAAUCCCCUUAGGGCUGAGAUCCAGUCUUGGACCUUAUCAGAUUACCCAUCAGUGGCUCUGCGUCCUCGAUUGCCUCUCCAAUACAACCUGCCUGCAGCUUUGCCUACAACAAAACCAGCUGACUGCAAGGUCCUCAGAGGUUGGGCUCCGUGCCCCAACCUCCCUCUCCACAGGCCAGCCCCACAGUAUGGAGAGAAGAGUCAACAGUACCCACCACAAGGCAGCCUCACUCGGGGUGACCCAGGCUUCAGGAGAUGCUAGGGCAGCUGCGUGGGCAGCUCCUCAUGGAAAGGGUAACAAUGGGAACCUCAAGGACACUGGUUCAGGGACAAAGACUGAAAGACAGUGGGAGAGAAAACAGUCUGAAGUAGGUGAAGGUCAGUUCUCAGCGACCACCAGUGCUUACCCAACUCUGUCCUCACCUCCAGUCUGCACCACAUCUUAGAAUGAAUCACCCAGCACCUUCUUGCACACAGGUGACACAAGGCUACAUUUUAUCUUUCCUAACAGUUUUAGCAACAAUGUCUCUCCAGGUCUCUUGGGCUUAGGACUCAAUCAAGUGUGUGUGUUCUGGUUCCCUGCUAGAGGGCCUGGGCCGUUUUUCCCAGCCUGACAUUACCCUCCCUCUCCUCCAGCUUUCUUAACUAUGGAAUAGACCAUGCCCCAUCCACUCUCUGCUCCCUGGUCCUUUGACUGCAAGGCCACCCAAGUAGGUGUCAGUUUGCUUACCCUCACCCAAAAGGCCACCUUGCCACUUACAAAGCCACCCAAGCAGGUGCCAGCACUUUUUUUUUUCUUUUCUUUUUCACGGAGCUGGGGAUCGAACCCAGGGCCUUGUGCUUGCUAGGCAAGCGCUCUACCACUGAGCUAAAUCCCCAACCCCAGGUGCCAGCACUUUUAGAGAUGGGGAGACUGAGGUCUAGAGCAAUCAGCUUUGGCCGGAAGUCGCCCAAGGUGGGACAGGAUUCUACUAGAGCCCAAGGAACUGGAGCCUCUCACACAAGCUCUUGACCACCCCUUGAAGGUCGUCCUCAGAUUUGCUUUAGACCAGAACCUGUGUCCUCUGAAUCUGCUGAUUCCCUAAGUCAGAACCACCAGGCUCCAUCAAGCUGGCUCCCAGUGGGAAUUCUGAUUCUGACCUGUUGGCCUAGACCCUCCAAGCAGGCAAAAUAGAAAAAGCCCAAGGAAAGAGAGGGGGUGAGGGGGUUUUAAGAAGGGAAAAUAUUUUGGUUCUCAGGAGGCGAGGAAAUUGCCUGAUUCCCAACCGAUUAGGAGUAAUUAACCCUUCGCAAGGCAGUAAUUAAGUCUGUGCUGCUGAAGCCAUAAUUAGAAGCCCUAGAGGCUCCGCCCCUCCCUAAGCGCACCAGCAGGCAAGGAGAAGGACCUGGCUUUCCUAGGAGGCUGGGGAGGCCAUCAGUCUGGCCAGGGGCACCUCAAGUAUAGAAAGAAGCAGUGUUCCUGGAGUCAAGUCAUUCUUGGUGAGAGUACACAAAACUGCUGGGAUGCGAGAAGGCUAGGCUGGGGUCUACCAUAAGGGGCUUGCAGAAUCCUUUUUUCUUUUGAAGCAGAGUCUCACUGUGAAUUCAAGAUUCUCCUGCCUCAGCUUCCUCGGUGAACAGGAUACAGUCGUGUGCCACCACCUCUGGUUUGAGGACAUUUUUGGUCUGGCCGAGAGGUUUCACACUGCAGCUCCAGGUUGAGACCAGGACAAGCGCAGUGGCACUCAGCAAAUGUCUGUUGCAUGAAUACGUGGACGAAUUCUGGCUGAGAAAGCGUCCUUUGCAGGAGAAUUUCAUAAACGUGAGCUGUUUCUAAAACUACUCCUGGGGAUGGGGGAGGGUGCGCCCUGGGCGGGGAGGAGGUGGCUGUGACCCACUUUCGCAGGCGCCGCUUGCACCUCCACUUGUCGGCCCACAGAUGGCGCUCGCUCCCCGCGCUGCAGCAGUCGCGGUACCGGUCACUAGUGGUUUGUCCGUGUGCGUUUUUUGCAGACAAGAGGCCUGUAGACUUCGCCUUUUCAGAGUCCACCGCUUGAUUGGGAAGCAUUUUGAUCAUGCGUGAGGUAGAGAUGAAGGUGCCCUCUCUACCCAUCUCCUAGCUGUGUAAUCUAUGCUCAAUUUAUGGACGCAGGGAUGAGCUUACUAGGUGGGUAUCCUAUUAAACUUAACACAGCUUUUGUA